CCACCCCUCGGCAGUAGGCAGCUCUGUAACUGACGUGUUUGCCGCCCUUUAUGAGCGUUUUUGAAGCGUUUCCUUCGCCCAGCAGCAGGACUGGGAAUGAGGGCAGGUGGUCUGUCAAAUAUCUGCAAUACUUUUUAGGCCUAGGAGGGAGUUUUCAUUCUUAUCUCCAUUCUACAGAUGAGGAAGUUGGGACCCAGAGAAGCAUAGUGAUCUGACUCCCAGUCCAGUGCUCUUCCUACCACAUCCUGCUAAAUGAUACCCAGACAUAGGACCUUGCAUCUAGUGAAAUUCCUCUGGUUUCCAAAUCUCCACCUACCAAAUGCCAACUUUGAAGACUUAGCUCCAGUGCCAUUUCCUCCAUGAAGACUUCCUUCAAGCUUCUUAGCUCUCUGCUGAGGUACAAGUGCACUUUGAAAACAUGCACGGAUCAAGCAUGAUAGCUGUUACAUUCCCUACUGGGCUGUGUCCAUAACUUCCCAAGGUGAAGGAUGAUGAACUGUGUCUUAAUAUUUACCUGUCUAUUCCCUACAGCACCUACCAAGAGACGGUUAUUGCAUUUCUACCUCAGGUCAGAAACUGCUCAAAAGUGAAAUGAAUUAUGAUAUACUAGUUCACAAAUGGAGACACUGCAACAAGUACCCUGUAAUGUGACCUGGCUCUCAGGAUAAAACCAAUCCAUGAUAAAGCUCAAGGAAUGGGACAAGGGCAGGCAGUUUGGGCUACACAUUUUUGAGUCAAGAAAUCUGGGAUUGAGGUUCUGCUUUUUGUCAUUUGCUAGCUACGGCUUGGCACCAGGUGGUUCUUCUCUGAGCAUCAUUUCCUUCCUUCUGCAUGGCUUCACGGGAUUAAGAAUAAAAUGAGACACAUUUGUGAAUGCUACAUCAGUGAUUCUCAAUCCCAAUUAUGCAUCAUAAUCCCCUGUAAAGCUUCUGAAAAGUACAGAGGACAAUUCCCCAGCCCAGGUCAAUUGAAUCAGAAUCCUCUGGAAGUGGGACGCAGUGUGACUAAUUAUCUAUAAAAUGCUGUUUCUAAUGCAUAGCCAAGGUUAGAAGCUACUGUUAUAAACUCAUAAGUACCAUUAACAGUAGAGCAAGGUGCUUUAGGCUGCUGGUUUAAUUAUCCUCUAUGUGUAAAGUUAGAAAUUAGUUCAAUGCUUUUAUAGUUCCUUAAAAUACACUACUGUGUGAAAGCAUUUUUUGUGUUCUUCUGCAUUGUUUUCUGUAUGGUUAUAAGUUCUGAGAGAGAGAAUUAUAUCUAGCACCACUGUACAUAAAGACAUACCUAAACCAAAUUUUUGAGAAAAAAUAAAAACUUCAGAGUCCUCUGAAACCUUGCUGUUCAGAAGUAUGGUGACCAAACAAGCAGAACUGGCAUAAACUAGGAACUUGCAAGAAAUGUAGAAUCUCAGACCCCACUCCGUACCCUGCAUAUUAACGAGGUUCUUAGAUGCGUCAAUAGGUGAAGCAAAGGCAGUCUUUGCUCAGUUCAUAUAUAUGUUUAGGGUCUGCUGUUCCCUGUCCUAAUCCUGAAAAGGUAAGAGGGCAUGAAGCAUUGGGUUCUGUCUUCUACAAACCACUGAAGAUUGGGGCUUUAUCCCGAUGCUUCUUUCUCUAAAGGGUCCAUUUGGUAAAAACUAAAUUAAGAACAUAAAUCCUUAUAAAAGGAUCCUUUCUUUCAAAGAAGACUAGUCUUCACAGGCUUCU